rnacentral:rRNA from 1 species
UACGAAGGGGGCGAGCGUUGUUCGGAAUUACUGGGCGUAAAGGGCGCGCAGGCGGCGAGUUUUGUCAGGCGUGAAAGCCCCGGGCUCAACCUGGGAACUGCGCUUGAAACGGGCUUGCUAGAGACCGGGAGAGGAGAGUGGAAUUCCCAGUGUAGAGGUGAAAUUCGUAGAUAUUGGGAAGAACACCGGUGGCGAAGGCGGCUCUCUGGACCGGAUCUGACGCUGAGGCGCGAAAGCGUGGGGAGCAAACAGG